rnacentral:rRNA from 1 species
AGUGAACGCUGGCGGUAGGCCUAACACAUGCAAGUCGAACGGCAGCACAGUAAGAGCUUGCUCUUACGGGUGGCGAGUGGCGGACGGGUGAGGAAUACAUCGGAAUCUACUUUUUCGUGGGGGAUAACGUAGGGAAACUUACGCUAAUACCGCAUACGACCUACGGGUGAAAGCAGGGGAUCUUUGGACCUUGCGCGAUUGAAUGAGCCGCUGUCGGAUUAGCUAGUUGGCGGGGUAAAGGCCCACCAAGGCGACGAUCCGUAGCUGGUCUGAGAGGAUGAUCAGCCACACUGGAACUGAGACACGGUCCAGACUCCUACGGGAGGCAGCAGUGGGGAAUAUUGGACAAUGGGCGCAAGCCUGAUCCAGCCAUACCGCGUGGGUGAAGAAGGCCUUCGGGUUGUAAAGCCCUUUUGUUGGGAAAGAAAAGCAGCAGGUUAAUACCCCGCUGUUCUGACGGUACCCAAAGAAUAAGCACCGGCUAACUUCGUG